AAGGGAGUGUUUGUAUAAUAGGGCGAGGGAAUAGAGAGUUUAGGGUGGCUUAGCUUAGUGCACAAUGGCUUCCAUUAACACCUGCCUUCACUCCCUUCGUUCUCUCAACAAACCUUCCUCUUCCUCUCCUUCUUCCUCUUCCAACGUUCGUCCUUGUGUCUCUGCAAAGCUCAACAACCCCUCUCCUUCUGUCCCCAACCUCAUCCAAAACAGGCCUGUCUUUGCUGCCCCUUCCCCUCUCAUCACCCCCACUUGGACAGAAGAUAUGGGGAAUGGUUCAUAUGAGGAAGCCAUUCAAGCUUUGGAGAAGCUCCUCAGAGAGAAGGGAGAUUUGAAAGCUACAGCAACAUCAAAGGUGGAACAGAUAACAGCAGAAUUGAAGACUCCUGACGGAGGCAAACCACCCUUUGAUCCUGUUGAGAGAAUCAAAUCUGGUUUCAUUCACUUCAAGAAGGAGAAAUAUGACAAGAACCCAGAAUUGUAUGGAGAGCUUGCAAAGGGCCAAAGCCCCAAGUUUAUGGUGUUUGCUUGCUCUGAUUCAAGAGUGUGCCCAUCACAUGUUCUCGAUUUCCAACCAGGAGAGGCCUUUGUGGUCAGAAAUGUUGCCAAUUUGGUUCCUCCAUAUGAUCAGAGCAAGUUUUCAGGAACUGGAUCUGCCAUUGAAUAUGCUGUUCUGCAUCUCAAGGUGCAAUACAUUGUUGUGAUUGGUCACAGUGCCUGUGGUGGUAUUAAGGGUCUCAUGACCUUCCCAUUUGAUGGAAACUACUCGACUGAUUUCAUUGAAGAAUGGGUGAAAAUUGGUUUGCCUGCUAAGGCCAAGGUGAAAUCACAGCACGGUGGUGCUGAUCUUGGGGAAAUGUGUGGACACUGUGAAAAGGAAGCAGUUGGUGUAUCACUUGGGAACCUGCUAACCUAUCCAUUUGUUAGGGAUGGUUUGGUGAAUGGAACUCUUGGACUCAAGGGUGGUCACUACGACUUCGUUAAUGGAACUUUCGAGCUCUGGGGGCUUGAUUUCAGCUUUACUCCGUCUUUGUCUGUAUGAACACCAUCUAUUAUCGGCGGAUCGAUCUGGUUUUUCUCACUGAUUUUCUUCGUAAAGGAUGUGGCCACCAUUCUGCACUGGAAGCUCUAGGGGCACGUUUAGAAGUCAAUCAAUCCUGCAAAGAUGAAACUUGUUUUAAUAAUACACUUCUUGGUUAUGUUGGAAUAAGCCUGUUUUUCCUGAGGACUGAAUCUUGCCUUCAAUUUCAUUGAAAUCCAUUUCAGAUUCACCAAA